rnacentral:sRNA from 1 species
GCUGGGCAUGGUGCCACAUGCCUGUAAUCCCAGCAUCUCAGGAGGCUGAGGCAGGAGGAUCACUAGUUCAAAGCCAACCUCAGCUAAAGCAAGGCACUAAGCAACUCAGUGAGACUCUGUCUCUA